UACGUAGGGGGCAAGCGUUGUCCGGAUUUAUUGGGCGUAAAGAGCGUGUAGGCGGCCAGGUAGGUCUGCUGUGAAAACUCGAGGCUUAACCUCGAGCUGUCGGCGGAAACCAUCUGGCUAGAGUCCGGAAGAGGAGAAUGGAAUUCCCGGUGUAGCGGUGAGAUGCGCAGAUAUCGGGAAGAACACCCGUGGCGAAGGCGGUUCUCUGGGACGGUACUGGCGCUGAGACGCGAAAGCGUGGGGAGCGAACAGG
rnacentral:rRNA from 1 species